rnacentral:tRNA from 1 species
GCUCGCUUAGCUCAGUUGGUCAGAGUAUCGGUCUAGGAUCAGAAAUCUGGUCCGCCGCGUAUGUGCCGACGGUCGCGGGUUCGAGCCCCGCAGUGAGCA